CAAUAGCGUAUAUUAAAGCUGUUGCGGUUAAAAAGCUCGUAGUUGGAUUUCUGUCAAGUACAACUGGUCCGCCCUCCGGGUGAGCACAUAGUUUGGUCUUGGCAUCUUGCUGGAAAUUGUUGCUGCACUUGGCUGUGUGGCGCAGUGUCCAGCACUUUCACUUUGAGGAAAUUGGGGUGUUUCAAGCAGGCAAUGCCUUUGAACACAGUAGCAUGGAAUAAUUAGAUUGGGCUUUUGCUCCAAUUUGUCGGUUUCUGGAGCUGAGGUGAGAAUUAAUGGGGAUUGUUGGGGGCAUCCGAAUUUAGCCGUCAGAGGUGAAAUUCUUGGAUCGGCUAAAGACGGACAACUGCGAAAGCGUUUGCCCAGGAUGUUUUCAUUG
rnacentral:rRNA from 1 species